UGCCCGGCCGCCCAUCGUCUGAGAUGUGGGGAGCGCCCCUACCCCGCUGCCCCGUCUGGGAUGUGAGGAGCGCCUCCGCCGGGCCGCGACCCUGUCUGAGAAAAAAGUAGAGGGUGGAUUUCUGCAAGCAAUGUGCAAAGAAACUUGAAACAACAACAAGAUAACCCAGGACAGCCCUUACCUCACAGUGGGGAGGAGUGAGCAACAAAGACAACAACAACAAAAAACAGCUCAUCAUCUUGUUAUUAAUUGCAACUCUGGUGCCUUGGAUAUGCCUGAUUGAAGACAAGGGACUUGAAGGCCAGCCUAUAAACAUGCUAUAUUCUCAUGGAAAACCCAAUACUUUAAUGGCUGUAUUUUUGUGGUUUAUUAUUUUAUUGAUCUCAAAGGAAAACCUGCAGCAAAAAAAGUUGGUGCAUUUUCUUCUAUUAUGGAAAAUUUCUCCAGUUGCAGAAAUAAAGUCCCAACCUCCCCAGUCACCCGGUUUCAGAUUGUACACAUUGAUUCCUUAACAAAAAAGCACCAUUAUAUGGUACAAUAAAAGUGAAUUUUUAAAGAUUU
rnacentral:lncRNA from 10 species